GAGUUUGAUCGUGGCUCAGAACGAACGCUGGCGGCAUGCCUAACACAUGCAAGUCGAACGAGACCUUCGGGUCUAGUGGCGCACGGGUGCGUAACGCGUGGGAAUCUGCCCUUGGGUUCGGGAUAACAGUUGGAAACGACUGCUAAUACCGGAUGAUGACUUCGGUCCAAAGAUUUAUCGCCCAGGGAUGAGCCCGCGUCGGAUUAGCUUGUUGGUGAGGUAAAAGCUCACCAAGGCGACGAUCCGUAGCUGGUCUGAGAGGAUGAUCAGCCACACUGGGACUGAGACACGGCCCAGACUCCUACGGGAGGCAGCAGUGGGGAAUAUUGGACAAUGGGCGAAAGCCUGAUCCAGCAAUGCCGCGUGAGUGAUGAAGGCCUUAGGGUUGUAAAGCUCUUUUACCCGGGAAGAUAAUGACUGUACCGGGAGAAUAAGCCCCGGCUAACUCCGUGCCAGCCGCCGCCGUAAC
rnacentral:rRNA from 1 species